CGUAGGGUGCGAGCGUUAAUCGGAAUUACUGGGCGUAAAGACGUGCGCAGGCGGUUUAGUAAGACAGGCGUGAAAUCCCCGGGCUCAACCUGGGAACUGCGCUUGUGACUGCUAAGCUAGAGUACGGCAGAGGGGGUGGAAUUCCACGUGUAGCAGUGAAAUGCGUAGAGAUGUAGGAGGAACACCAAUGGCGAAGGCAGCCCCCUGGGUCGAUACUGACGCUCAUGCACGAAAGCGUGGGUAGCAAACAGGAUUAGAUACCCUGGUAGUCCACGCCCUAAACGAUGUCAACUAGGUGUUGGGAGGGUAAACCUUUUAGUACCGGAGCUAACGCGUGAAGUUGACCGCCUGGGGAGUACGGCCGCAAGGUUA
rnacentral:rRNA from 1 species